rnacentral:rRNA from 1 species
GUCGAGAAUCUUCCCCAAUGGGCGAAAGCCUGAGGGAGCGACGCCGCGUGAGGGAUGAAGGCCCUUUGGGUUGUAAACCUCUGUUAGGGGGAAAGAAAAGCAGUGGAAGCAAUAUGUCCAUUGCCUGACGUUACCCCCAGAGAAAGCUCCGGCCAACUCCGUGCCAGCAGCCGCGGUAAUACGGGGGGAGCAAGCGUUGUCCGGAAUCAUUGGGCGUAAAGGGCGUGUAGGCGGCUUGGCAAGUCGAAUGUGAAAUCCCACGGCUCAACCGUGGAACUGAGUUCGAAACUGCCUUGCUUGAGUGCGGGAGAGGUGUGCGGAAUUCCUGGUGUAGCGGUGGAAUGCGUAGAUAUCAGGAAGAACACCGGUGGCGAAGGCGGCACACUGGCCCAGCACUGACGCUGAGGCGCGAAAGCGUGGGGAGCGAACGGGAUUAGAAACCCGAGUAGUCC